rnacentral:rRNA from 1 species
AUACGUAGGGGGCGAGCGUUGUCCGGAAUGAUUGGGCGUAAAGGGCGCGUAGGCGGCCGCUUAAGUCUGGAGUGAAAGUCCUGUUUUCAAGAUGGGAAUUGCUUUGGAUACUGGGGGGCUUGAGUGCAGGAGAGGUUAUCGGAAUUCCCGGUGUAGCGGUGAAAUGCGUAGAGAUCGGGAGGAACACCAGUGGCGAAGGCGGGUAACUGGACUGCAACUGACGCUGAGGCGCGAAAGUGUGGGGAGCAAACAGGAUUAGAUACCCUGGUAGUCCACACCGUAAACGAUGAAUGCUAGGUGUAAGAGGUAUCGACCCCUUUUGUGCCGGAGUCAACACAAUAAGCAUUCCGCCUGGGGAGUACGGCCGCAAGGUUGAAACUCAAAUGAAUUGACGGGG